AUUGAACGCUGGCGGCAGGCCUAACACAUGCAAGUCGAACGCGUGCCGGACGGGUGAGUAAUGUCUGGGAAACUGCCUGCUGUAGGGGGAUAUCUACUGGAAACGGUAGCUAAUACCGCACACGCUCAGAUGUGCCCAGAUGGGAUUAGCUUGUUGGUGGGGUAACGGCUCACCAAGGCGACGAUCCCUAGCUGGUCUGAGAGGAUGACCAGCCACACUGGAACUGGGACACGGUCCAGACUCCUACGGGAGGCAGCAGUGGGGAAUAUUGCACAAUGGGGGCAAGCCUGAUGCAGCCAUGCCGCGUGUAUGAAGAAGGCCUUCGGGUUGUAAAGUACUUUCAGCGGGGAGGCGUUACCCGCAGAAGAAGCACCGGCUAACUCCGUGCCAGCAGCCGCGGUAAUAC
rnacentral:rRNA from 1 species